rnacentral:rRNA from 2 species
UACGGAGGAUGCGAGCGUUAUCCGGAUUUAUUGGGUUUAAAGGGAGCGCAGGCUGCGAGGCAAGUCAGCGGUCAAAUGUCGGGGCUCAACCCCGGCCUGCCGUUGAAACUGUCUUGCUAGAGUUCGAGUGAGGUAUGCGGAAUGCGUUGUGUAGCGGUGAAAUGCAUAGAUAUGACGCAGAACUCCGAUUGCGAAGGCAGCAUACCAACUCGCGACUGACGCUGAGGCUCGAAAGCGUGGGUAUCGAACAGG